UAUAAUUACGGGCGAACAACACGGAAAGGAGAAAUUAAGUAAGCGAUUCUGACGUGAUGGAGCCGCAGGCAGCCAUGCGCGACCUGUCUGCCUUGCUCGGUAGCCGACGACGUCGCGCCUGCCUCAGACCCAACACAGCUGGUAAUGGUUCCUCUGAUGACACAGAUGCUUUUGUAGUUGCACAGAUUGGUAAAGGACGGAGUGAUCUCGGACGAUGAGUCGGUGUUGGUGGGCAUUCUGAUUGAUUGAACAAUCCCGAUUCAGUCCAGAGGCCUCAUCAACAUCCACAAUUUCAAAGCCAAAGCAAUCUUCAGGAUGAAAUGGAGUUGGAUGUCUUUGGGGAUGCCUCUUGGGCAGUUCUGGCGGCAUACUUGGCAAUGCGUGAGUCCUGUGCAAAGGUCUAUGUGUAGAUCUCGGAGGUA